rnacentral:tRNA from 1 species
GGAGAUAUGGCUCAAUGAAUAAGAGCACUGGCUGCUCUUCCAGAGGACCUAGGUUCAACUCCCAGUACCUACA